rnacentral:rRNA from 1 species
UAAGUAAGAAGUGAAAGCGUUCGGCUCAACCGAAUAUGCAUUUUUUAAACUGCUAAGCUAGAGAAUGAGAGAGGUCACUGGAAUUCCAAGUGUAGGAGUGAAAUCCGUAGAUAUUUGGAGGAACACCGAUGGCGUAGGCAGGUGACUGGCUCAUUUCUGACACUAAGGCACGAAAGCGUGGGUAGCAAACAGGAUUAGAUACCCUGGUAGUCCACGCCGUAAACUAUGGAUGCUA